AAGUGUGAUUUGUUCCAUGGAUGUGAGUCUGAUUCAAUAUUCUAAAAUCAAUCAAUCAAUCAAUCAAUCAAUCUAACUCACCAUCAUAACAGGCUAAAGAAGAACAAUCAUAUGAUCUUAUCAAUUGAUGCAAAAAAAUGCAUUUUGCAAAAUUCAAAACGCAUUCACGAUAAAAACUUGAGAUCAAUGCAUGCACAAGCCAAGGACCCCGAGGAUGCCAGCAGCCACCACAAGUCAGGAGAGAGGCAUGGGGUGAUCUCUUGGAGCCUCCAGAAGGAACCAGCCCUGCUGGAAUCAGAAGGAAUCCACACCUUCCUUUCAGAUUCUUGGAUGUCUGGCCUCCAGAACUAUGAGAGAAUACAUUUCUGUUGUUUCAAGCCAUCUGGCUUAUGGUAAUUUGUUACAACAACCCCAGGAAAGUAAUAGAGCAAUGAACUUUAAUUUUUAGUAAUACCAUUUGAGCCAGCAAAAUCAACCUGUGAGGCAGAUUAGGCCUGCCAAUCAUCCUCACCCCGGUUAGAGUCAAAGGACACUCAAUGCCAGGUCAUCAUUAUCUCAUCAUUAUUUUCUCCAAAAAUGAUGCUGCUGCCUCCCCAACAACUCUACGUAGACUGAACCUCUCCUGAGUCCCAGAGCCAUAUUUCCACAUCCUCUGGACAUCUUCAUUUGCAGGACCUGCAGGCAACUCCAACUUAAGGUAUCCAAAAUCCAGCUGCAUUCUUUAUUGUGUGAAAUCGCCACCACUUUGGACCACUGGUGUGCUGGAGCGGGUUGUGCUGGCUCCCAAGAGUCGACUAUAAAAUAUUCAGGAAUUUUCCCUGCUGGUUGCUAAACUG
rnacentral:lncRNA from 1 species